ACGAACGCUGGCGGCAGGCCUAACACAUGCCAGUCGAGCGGACCUUUCGGGGUCAGCGGCGGACGGGUGAGUAACGCGUGGGAAUAUGCCCUUCUCUACGGAAUAGUCCUGGGAAACUGGGGGUAAUACCGUAUACGCCCUUUGGGGGAAAGAUUUAUCGGGGAAGGAUUAGCCCGCGUUGGAUUAGGUAGUUGGUGGGGUAAUGGCCUACCAAGCCGACGAUCCAUAGCUGGUUUGAGAGGAUGAUCAGCCACACUGGGACUGAGACACGGCCCAGACUCCUACGGGAGGCAGCAGUGGGGAAUCUUAGACAAUGGGGGCAACCCUGAUCUAGCCAUGCCGCGUGAGUGAUGAAGGCCUUAGGGUUGUAAAGCUCUUUCAGCUGGGAAGAUAAUGACGGUACCAGCAGAAGAAGCCCCGGCUAACUCCGU
rnacentral:rRNA from 1 species